rnacentral:rRNA from 1 species
UGGCGGCAUGCCUAAUACAUGCAAGUCGAGCGCGGGAAGCAGACUGACGCCCUUCGGGGCAGACGUCUGUGGAACGAGCGGCGGAUGGGUGAGUAUCACGUGGGCAACCUGCCUGCAAGAUCGGGAUAACUCGUGGAAACGCGAGCUAAUACCGAAUAAUACUUCUUGUUGCAUGACGAGGAGAUAAAAUGACGGUUUUGCUGUCACUUGCAGAUGGGCCCGCGGCGCAUUAGCUAGUUGAUGGGGUAGAGGCUUACCAAGGCGACGAUGCGUAGCCGACCUGAGAGGGUGAUCGGCCACACUGGGACUGAGACACGGCCCAGACUCCUACGGGAGGCAGCAGUAGGGAAUCUUCCGCAAUGGACGCAAGUCUGACGGAGCAAUGCCGCGUGAGUGAUGAAGGUCUUCGGAUCGUAAAACUCUGUUGUUAGGGAAGAAUAAGUACGUUAGUAACUGAACGUACCUUGACGGUACCUAACCAGAAAGCCACGGCUAACUACGUGCCAGCCGCCGC